rnacentral:rRNA from 1 species
UACAGAGGUCCCAAGCGUUGUUCGGAUUCACUGGGCGUAAAGGGUGCGUAGGUGGCCAGGUAAGUUCGGUGUGAAAGCUCGGAGCUUAACUCCGAAAUGGCAUUGAAUACUAUCUGGCUAGAGGGUCGGAGGGGAGACUGGAAUUCUCGGUGUAGCAGUGAAAUGCGUAGAUAUCGAGAGGAACACCAGUGGCGAAGGCGAGUCUCUGGACGACUCCUGACACUGAGGCACGAAAGCCAGGGAGCAAACAGG